AUGCAAGUCGAGCGGGGGAAAGUACUUCGGUAUUGACCUUAGCGGCGGACGGGUGAGUAAUACUUAGGAAUCUGCCUAUUAGUGGGGGACAACAUCUCGAAAGGGAUGCUAAUACCGCAUACGUCCUACGGGAGAAAGCAGGGGAUCACUUGUGACCUUGCGCUAAUAGAUGAGCCUAAGUCGGAUUAGCUAGUUGGUGGGGUAAAGGCCUACCAAGGCGACGAUCUGUAGCGGGUCUGAGAGGAUGAUCCGCCACACUGGGACUGAGACACGGCCCAGACUCCUACGGGAGGCAGCAGUGGGGAAUAUUGGACAAUGGGGGGAACCCUGAUCCAGCCAUGCCGCGUGUGUGAAGAAGGCCUUAUGGUUGUAAAGCACUUUAAGCGAGGAGGAGGCUUACCUAGUUAAUACCUAGGCUAAGUGGACGUUACUCGCAGAAUAAGCACCGGCUAACUCUGUGCCAGCAGCCGCGGUAAUACAGAGGGUGCAAGCGUUAAUCGGAUUUACUGGGCGUAAAGCGCGCGUAGGCGGCCAAUUAAGUCAAAUGUGAAAUCCCCGAGCUUAACUUGGGAAUUGCAUUCGAUACUGGUUGGCUAGAGUGUGGGAGAGGAUGGUAGAAUUCCAGGUGUAGCGGUGAAAUGCGUAGAGAUCUGGAGGAAUACCGAUGGCGAAGGCAGCCAUCUGGCCUAACACUGACGCUGAGGUGCGAAAGCAUGGGGAGCAAACAGGAUUAGAUACCCUGGUAGUCCAUGCCGUAAACGAUGUCUACUAGCCGUUGGGGCCUUUGAGGCUUUAGUGGCGCAGCUAACGCGAUAGUAGACCGCCUGGGGAGUACGGUCGCAGACUAAAACUCAAUGAAUUGACGGGGGCCCGCACAAGCGGUGGAGCAUGUGGUU
rnacentral:rRNA from 1 species